GCUGGAGUUUCGCGGGAAAUAGUUGAUGAACACGAAGCCCCGGGCCUGAUCGAUGCAGUGGAAGAGCGGGUUCCAGUCGAAGAGCAUCAGCAUGGUCGGCGGCAGGGCGUUGGCGACGAACAUCUUGCCCGAGGCGAUCAUGUUGGCCCGUUG
rnacentral:ncRNA from 1 species